UGGAGGGCUAAGAUUGCCCCAAUCACAAUGUCACGUCUCUAUACUAUUUUAUUUUUGAUUUUUUCCUAUAAACUAUUUUCACACCAAAUUUUGAGCGUUCAAUACUCUAUUAAACUCGCACUAGCAAAAAAUAUAAAAAUAUAUCUUCAAUAAAAUAAAAUAACCAAAUACCCCUGAAAGCUUCAAGGGGUAUUUUGAUCAUUAUUUUUUAUUGAAAUUUUUUUUUUAGUAUUUUUUAUAGGUGCAACCCAAUGAGAAGAUGGCACAUAUUAAAUUUCAUAUUCAUACAAUCUGUAUUAAAAAAAGAAAAAAUAAAAUAUCUUGAGUCGUCGGAUAUAGGAUCAAACGGUGAGUGGCUCUUUUGAUCAAAAUUGGACGGUUAGAUAGUAGGGGGAGGAUAGAACUUCUAUGCUGUAGGGGAAGCAUAGAAUCCUAUCUCAUAUAUAUAUAUAUAU
rnacentral:lncRNA from 1 species